UACGGGGGGGCAAGCGUUGUUCGGAAUUACUGGGCGUAAAGGGCCAGUAGGCGGCCAACUAAGUCGGAUGUGAAAUCCCCAGGCUUAACCUGGGAACUGCAUCCGAUACUGGAUGGCUUGAAUUCGGGAGAGGAUGCAGAAUUCCAGGUGUAGCGGUGAAAUGCGUAGAUAUACUGGAGGAAUACCGGUGGCGAAGGCGGCAUCCUCGGACCGACAUUGACGCUGAACGGCGGAAAGCUAGGGAGCAACGGG
rnacentral:rRNA from 1 species